AUUGAACGCUGGCGGCAUGCUUUACACAUGCAAGUCGAACGGUAACAGGCCGCAAGGUGCUGACGAGUGGCGAACGGGUGAGUAAUGCAUCGGAACGUGCCCAGUCGUGGGGGAUAACGCAGCGAAAGCUGUGCUAAUACCGCAUACGAUCUAUGGAUGAAAGCGGGGGACCGUAAGGCCUCGCGCGAUUGGAGCGGCCGAUGUCAGAUUAGGUAGUUGGUGGGGUAAAGGCUCACCAAGCCAAUGAUCUGUAGCUGGUCUGAGAGGACGACCAGCCACACUGGGACUGAGACACGGCCCAGACUCCUACGGGAGGCAGCAGUGGGGAAUUUUGGACAAUGGGCGCAAGCCUGAUCCAGCAAUGCCGCGUGCAGGAAGAAGGCCUUCGGGUUGUAAACUGCUUUUGUACGGAACGAAACGGUCUGGGUUAAUACCCUGGGCUAAUGACGGUACCGUAAGAAUAAGCACCGGCUAACUACGUGCCAGCCGCCGCCGUAA
rnacentral:rRNA from 1 species